CCUACGGGGUGCAGCAGUGGGGAAUAUUGCACAAUGGGGGAAACCCUGAUGCAGCGACGCCGCGUGGGGGAUGACGGCCUUCGGGUUGUAAACCUCUUUCAGUAGGGAAGAAGCCUUCGGGUGACGGUACCUGCAGAAGAAGUACCGGCUAACUACGUGCCAGCAGCCGCGGUAAUACGUAGGGUACAAGCGUUGUCCGGAAUUAUUGGGCGUAAAGAGCUCGUAGGUGGUCUGUCACGCCUGCUGUGGAAACGCAAGGCUCAACCUUGCGCGUGCAGUGGGUACGGGCGGACUAGAGUGCAGUAGGGGAGUCUGGAAUUCCUGGUGUAGCGGUGAAAUGCGCAGAUAUCAGAAGGAACACCGGUGGCGAAGGCGGGACUCUGGGCUGUAACUGACGCUGAGGAGCGAAAACAUGGGGAGCGAACAGGAUUAGAUACCCCGGUAGU
rnacentral:rRNA from 1 species